rnacentral:rRNA from 1 species
ACGAAGCAAUUAAAAUGAAGUUUUCGGAUGGAUUUUUGAUUGACUGAGUGGCGGACGGGUGAGUAACGCGUGGAUAACCUGCCUCACACUGGGGGAUAACAGUUAGAAAUGACUGCUAAUACCGCAUAAGCGCACAGUACCGCAUGGUACGGUGUGAAAAACUCCGGUGGUGUGAGAUGGAUCCGCGUCUGAUUAGCCAGUUGGCGGGGUAACGGCCCACCAAAGCGACGAUCAGUAGCCGACCUGAGAGGGUGACCGGCCACAUUGGGACUGAGACACGGCCCAAACUCCUACGGGAGGCAGCAGUGGGGAAUAUUGCACAAUGGGCGAAAGCCUGAUGCAGCGACGCCGCGUGAGUGAAGAAGUAUUUCGGUAUGUAAAGCUCUAUCAGCAGGGAAGAAAAUGACGGUACCUGACUAAGAAGCCCCGGCUAACUACGUGCCAGCAGCCGCGGUAAUACGUAGGGGGCAAGCGUUAUCCGGAUUUACUGGGUGUAAAGGGAGCGUAGACGGCGAAGCAAGUCUGAAGUGAAAACCCAGGGCUCAACCCUGGGACUGCUUUGGAAACUGUUUUGCUAGAGUGUCGGAGAGGUAAGUGGAAUUCCUAGUGUAGCGGUGAAAUGCGUAGAUAUUAGGAGGAACACCAGUGGCGAAGGCGGCUUACUGGACGAUAACUGACGUUGAGGCUCGAAAGCGUGGGGAGCAAACAGG